rnacentral:rRNA from 1 species
AGGACGAACGCUGGCGGCGCGCUUAACACAUGCAAGUCGAGCGAGAACCGGGACUUCGGUCCCGGGGACAGCGGCGAACGGGUGAGUAACACGUGGGUAAUCAACCCUCGGCACCGGGAUAGCCCGAGGAAACUCGGAUUAAUACCGGAUAGCCCCUCCGACUCUCGAGUCGGUCGGGAAAGGUAGCUUAGGCCUCUGGCCGGGGACGAGCCCGCGGCGGAUUAGCUUGUUGGUGGGGUAAUGGCCUACCAAGGCAACGAUCCGUAGCUGGUCUGAGAGGACGAUCAGCCACACUGGGACUGAGACACGGCCCAGACUCCUACGGGAGGCAGCAGUGGGGAAUCUUGCGCAAUGCGCGAAAGCGUGACGCAGCAACGCCGCGUGGGGGAAGAAGGCCUUCGGGUCGUAACCCUUUCAGUUGGGACGAAGGUCGGGCCGUUAAUAGCGGUUCCGACUGACGGUACCUUCACAAGAAGCCCCGGCUAACUACGUGCCAGCAGCCGC